rnacentral:rRNA from 1 species
GUAGGGAAUAUUGGGCAAUGGUCGGAAGACUGACCCAGCCAUGCCGCGUGCAGGAAGACGGCCCUCUGGGUUGUAAACUGCUUUUAUCUGGGAAGAAAAAGGCCAUGCGUGGCAAAUUGCCGGUACCAGAUGAAUAAGCACCGGCUAACUCCGUGCCAGCAGCCGCGGUAAUACGGAGGGUGCGAGCGUUGUCCGGAUUUAUUGGGUUUAAAGGUUGCGUAGGCGGCUGAUUAAGUCAGCGGUGAAAGACUUCGGCUUAACCGGAGCAGUGCCGUUGAUACUGGUGGGCUUGGGUGUCGGAGGGGUACAUGGAAUUGAUGGUGUAGCGGUGAAAUGCAUAGAUACCAUCAGGAACACCGAUAGCGAAGGCAUUGUACUGGCCGACAACUGACGCUGAUGCACGAAAGUGUGGGGAUCGAACAGGAUUAGAAACCCGUGUAGUCC